UAACUGUUCAUCGGCUUAUGAACAGUACCGGCUGCAGCCGAGCCGGUCGUAGCUGAAAAGACGAUGUUGUCCCUGCUUCAUCUCUCUUGCCCGACACCUGUUUAUCGUUUCAAAGCUUUCGUGUCUCUGUUCUUUGCUUCACAGUGUGUUUCUCUUGCUUUGACACCUGGGUGCUGCUAUCGUGUCUAUGAUACCUCACUCCACCGAAAGGUAGAUAGAUAGAGAGCUUCAGUUUGAGAGAGAAAUAGCGCGAGAGAAAGAGAGAGCGAGAGAGAGAGAACUGGAGGCUGCGUUCUAACCUGGGUUUGGAUUUUGUGGAUUUCUUUUCAGCAAAAGGGUCCAUCCAUUUGCAAUUGUCAUGACUCAUUACUGAAACAGAAAGAGGAAGAGAAUAGGAGUUUACGGUUGUGAAAUUGGGUUUGUCAGAGGGUUGGGUGUAUGUGAUUAGUGAGGCUGUUUCUUAGUGGUGCUUCAUCAAGGGAGGCUCGACUUCAAAGCUGGUUAUCAGAAGUUCUUUAAGGUUUCACAUGCUACUGUUGUAAGAAAUUGGUCUGCAAGGUCUGAAGAGAAGGAGAAGGUUGAAUCUGUAAAUCAAGAUAUCAGUAACAGCGAGCUAUCAAAAUUUGCAAGUAUUUUGAAUUGAGGAAAAUUUGGGUACAGCAAGAAGGAAGAUCUGGAAUUACUAUUAUUUUACAGUAAUCAGGAAACUGGGAAAGGAGAUGAAAUAGCUUCUGACCUUGACAAUAACACAGCAUAUAAAGAGCAAGCAAAGGCAAAGAUCAUUUUGCCUUACUGGGGAAAGUUAUGGAAGUAAGGGAGAAGUCAGUCAAUGCAACAGAGAAGUCAGCAGAAGAGCGAAAAUCACAAACCUAGAGGCAGCUAGAGGAACAAUUGGAAAGAGGAUAGUAUCUGGAUUAACUCGAAAAUUCCAUUUAACAGCAUGAGAAGCAUGCUAAGGCGUUGCAGAAGCUGUUAGAAGAGAGGAAGAAGCAUUUGGAAUCGGUUUCCAAGAGAGCAAGCUUGAACAUGAUGUCAGACAAAUUGAAUUGCAGCUAUUGGAGAAUGACGCUCCUGCUGUUAAUGAUAGAGGCUUGCAGCUGAAAAUGAGUGAGCAAUUCAUGAAGAAAGGCAAUUAUUUUGAGCAGCAGAUGAAUGACAACCAAAAAGAUGAAGUGAUUUGCGAGAGAAGCAAAAAGAUGAAGUGGUCUGCCAGUGAUAUGAUGGAGGAAAUACCUUUUUGAACAACCUCCACAACUAAUUAGCACCUUUUUGGCUAGGCUAACAAGUCUUCAACAACUGCUGUCACUUUUGCUAUAAAUAUAACUGGAGGAAGCACCAUUUUGAAGAACCUCCGCUGACAUGUAGUGACGAACAUCAACACCUCUUUUCAGCAAACAGAUCAAAUGUAGCUAGGUUAGCCUAGAAAUAGAACAAUAUAUUUUUGACAAGCUGUGUCAACAACAGUUGUAUUGUAUAUUUGCACAUUAUCAGAACAUUCACAUUAAUGGUAAUGUUAGUUGCAAACAUAAA